UGUCCCGUGAAGAGAAACGAACUCACAGUGUUCCGCUUACCGGGCAGAUGCCAUGUCCACUAAGCUACCCUGGAC
rnacentral:tRNA from 1 species